UACAGAGGGUGCAAGCGUUAAUCGGAAUUACUGGGCGUAAAGCGUGUGUAGGUGGUUUGCUAAGUCAGGUGUGAAAUCCCUGGGCUCAACCCAGGAACUGCAUUUGAUACUGGCAGACUAGAGUGUGGUAGAGGAUGGUGGAAUUCCCGGUGUAGCGGUGAAAUGCGUAGAUAUCGGGAGGAACAUCAGUGGCGAAGGCGGCCAUCUGGACUAACACUGACACUGAGACACGAAAGCGUGGAGAGCAAACAGG
rnacentral:rRNA from 1 species